ensembl:snoRNA
AGCCAGUGAUGACAUACUAAAUAACUUUUCUGACACCUCGUAUGAGAGCUGCACUGCAGCUCCUGAUUCUAACUCUGAUCUGAGGCUC